rnacentral:lncRNA from 1 species
AGUAUACUAAGGACCUGGGGGCAAUCUUGCCAGACUUCCUCUGCAGGCAUCUUUAAUUUUCUUGUAUCAUAAAUUUUUAUCUUACAUUCUAUACAAGGGGGAAUCACUGAGCUGAUGAGUGAGCCUAACCAUUUGCCCGACACCAUUGCAGAAACUGGUUAUUUUACCAAGGCUUUGACUGGAAUAGUGUGCUUCCCUUUAAGGAAUCAAACUUGACUUUUGGAGCUAAUAAAAGCCCCUUGGGAAAACUGCUCUCUUACCUUGUCUACACAGUCUCUGGACAGAGUUCCUGACCUGUGUAUCCAGAAUGAGUGAUCCUUGAAAAUCUCAAAUUGGAUCAUGUCCUUCAGCUACUUAAAACCUGUCAAUGAUGACCAGUUGUACUUCAAGUAAAAUCCAAAUCCUCUCAAGGUACCAAGGGGAGAAGGAAGAAACAAUACAAGAAUUGGCCCCAGGAAAUAUUUAUUCUAAAUCUGGCACAUGCAAAACCCCGAGAUAGCCAUCAAGGACAAAAAUCGUCACUGGGAGGUGGGAAGCCCUGAAGGAAAAGCACUAGUCUUGGUGUCAGGAGACCUAUGCUUGUGUUUUCACACUGACAGGAUGUGUGGAUCUCAACACGUAUCUUCAUCUUCUGAACCUAUUUCCUCAUCUAUAAAAGGUCACUAACACCCAUUUUGAAAAACCACAUGUAGGUUAGGAGGAUUCAAUGUAUGUGAAAGAGUUCUUCAAACUCCUAAGCACUUGCUGUGCUGAUGGUAAAGGUGAUAAUGAGGAGGAAGGAGUGUCUGCUAUGGGCAAACCACUGUCCUAAAACUUUUAAGUACAUUGUUAAUUAAUCUGCAUCAAUAAGUCUACGAAUUAGAUUCUAUCAUAAUCUCAAUUUUAAAGAUGAGGUUCAGAGAGAUGACAAAUUUUGCCUGAUAUCACACAGUCAUUUUAAUGGUGGAACAGAAAUUUUAACCCAAAUCUAUCUGGCUCCAUAGUUAACACUCUUAGCUACCAUAUUAUACGGCCAAUCUAACUCCCUUAUCUUUGGGAAAUACUUUUAUUUAUAGGUCAGUGACACAGAGUUACAGAUCCUGGGUACAGCCUGGGUCUGUAACUUACUCAAUGUAUAAUGCUGGGUAAGUCUUAACCUCUCUGUGCCUCAUCUGUUAAAUGAAGGAGUUGAACUCUAGGAUCUCUCAAGUUCAUUCCCUUUGAGUUCAUCUAACAUUAUACGGUCUUCGUUCUUGUUGGUACAAUAGUUUAUUAGGUAAUUGUUUAUUAGAUAAUUAACAGUCCGAGUCACCUUGGCUAUCUGCCAAAUGAAUAGAAGCACACUACAGAUAUUAGAGGGGAUUGAAGGGAAGAGAUUUCCAAGGGCUUUGGCAGGUGGAGAAGGCUUUUUGGAGAGGAUAGGCCUGAACCAUUUCACCAUUAAAAGCACUUUUAUUAUUUUUCUCCAUAGUCACUAUAUUUACAAAGAUUUUAUGUUUACUUAACAUUGUGGCAUGGUCUGGCAAAAGAGAGCAUCUGCAGCCCCUCCAGGAAAGAAGAGAAAUCCUGUAAUCCCUAGAGAGAGUCAGGCAGGAGGACAAAAUUAGUGGCUGCAUGCUUACUGCAGACCAGCACGGUAUGAGAACAGUAUUUUGUCAUCAGCUGUGAGUCGGCUAAAAGUUGAAGCCAAAUGUUCAAGCAUUGUUAGGAGUUGAGUCUUUUCUUUGAUGAAGCAUAUGGGAGCCUCAUUCAUCCACACUUUCCUUGCCUCCACAUCCUUGCCAUUAUGGGAAUGGCAUAUAAGCCAGUGAUUCUCAAUUAGAAGUGACUUUGUCCCUUAUGAACUAUAGGCGAUAUCUGAAGACAGACUAAAUGCCAUGACUUGGCUGGGGAGGAAGUGGGAGCUUGCUACUGAUAUCUAGUGGAUAGAGGCCAGGAAUACUUAGGGCAGGCUCCCCACCCUCCAUCCCCAGCAACAGAGAAUUAUCUGGUCCAAAAUUUCAAUAGUGCUGAGGCUGAAAAACUCUGAUACAAGGGAACAGCAGUUAC